rnacentral:rRNA from 1 species
GCGCGAAAACUUUACAAUGCGGGAAACCGUGAUAAGGGAACUCCGAGUGCCCGUAAAAUCGGGCUGUCCAUCUGUUUAAAUAACAGGUGAAGAAAGGGCCGGGCAAGACCGGUGCCAGCCGCCGCGGUAAUACCGGCGGCUCGAGUGGUGGCCACUAUUACUGGGCUUAAAGCGUUCGUAGCUGGUCUGUUAAGUCUCUGGGGAAAUCUACUGGCUUAACCAAUAGGCGUUUCAGGGAUACUGGCAGACUAGGGACCGGGAGAGGUGAGAGGUACUCCAGGGGUAGGA